AAUCAUUAGUUUUUUAAUUGAAAACUGGGAUGAAUGGUCCGACAAAAGAAAAACUGUCUUCAUGCACUAGAUAUAAAACUUAACUUUUAAGUUAAAAGGCUUAAAUAAUCCAGGGGGACAACAAGACCCUAUAAAGCUUUAUAUGCUGUCUUAGCUAGCUAAAAUAAAGUCCUAAAGGCCAGUUGGGGUUAGUUUAUUUUGUUGGGGCGAUAAAAGUAUAAUUUAGGUAACUGCUAUUAAUCUGAUACAUGGAUGGUUGAAAUAAUCUUAAAAGAUCCUUAUUAAAGAUUCAAAGACCAAGUUACUUUAGGGAUAACAGCGUAAUUUCUUUUGAGAGUCCAUAUCGAAAAAGAAGAUUGCGACCUCGAUGUUGAAUUAAGAUUUCUUUAUUGUGCAGCCGCAGUAAAAAGAAGGUCUGUUCGACCUUUAAAGUCUUACAUGAUUUGAGUUCAGACCGGCGUGAGCCAGGUUG
rnacentral:rRNA from 1 species